rnacentral:lncRNA from 1 species
GUGAAAGGUCGCUGGUCCCCGGCAACACGGCUCAGGCAAACCAACAGUGAGAGCUCAGAAAUUCCCAGACUGUUUUGAUGAUAAGGUCCAAGAACUUGCCAUGUGAUCCAUCACUACUAGACUCCCACAACUGCAUUAGAUUUGUUCAGGAUUUUCAUAUAAUUUUCAUAACUGGCUAAGUUCUGAAAUAACCCAUCUUGAAGACAUAAACAAUGUGCAUUGAUGGCUAGCCAGACUCUGUCCUGCCACAGUUCUCCUCCUACUCUUCAUUUCUUACCCCAAGGAGUAGUAAACAUGAAUCCUGACCCACCAAUGCAGUCCCAGAACUGAGAAAAGAUUCACUGCAGCUAAACACAUUGGAAAUGGAUGGGGAGAAGGCCUGAUGAAAAUUACUGAGGAAGCCUCUUAGCCUAUGUGCUCUGAGAGUAGUGACACCUAGCAGUCGUUCAAAAGAUGAUCAAGAGGAGCAUGAAAAAAUCCCCUGAAUCCAUUGGCUUUCUUCCCUAUACUGACAACAGUUUACUUGUGUAAGAGAUGCAUGCCUCGACUCCGGACCCCUUCUUUCAUCUGCAAAAUCAGCAGCACCCUCACAUCAUCUCCUGUAACAAACUCUCUCUGUCUCCUCCAUAUAAGGUCACUGAUGGUUACAUUUAGGGUCCAUGAUAUAAGAAGAUGGAUGUCUAUUGCUUUUCUCUUGAUAUUCAUGGCACUGCUCCUCUCCAUCCAUAGGAUUAUCUUAUAGAUGAGGGUCUCAUCCUUUUGCCCAGGCUGGAGUACAG